AGGUGUUCGCAAGGAAGAGGAUUAUCCUUACUCUAUGGAAGUAGGAACCUGCUAGACGCAAAAAAAAAUUAUGUUACAGCGAAAAAUGGAUUAAAUUGGUUUAUACUAAUUCUUUUUGUCUUAAAACAGGAUGAAUCUGAAAUGGUGACUAUCAGUGGGCAACAAGAUGUACCGAGAAAUGAUGAGAAAAGUCUCUUGAAGGCGUUGGCUCAUCACCUCUCAGUUUCGCUAUUGAUUCUUUUGGUAUAGAGUUCCAGUUCAUAGCGGUGAAAGAUGUUGGAAAUAUUGUGUUUUGGUAUAUGAAGGGUGUCUUUGAUGGGAGAUGCAGUGUCAAUUUGGACCAUGGUAUUGCUGCAGUUGUGUAUGGAUCAAGCAAGGGUUCAGAUCAUUGUUAAUUUUUUUGGUUGCAUCAGGACGAAGAGGAACACUUAUAAACUAGAGGCUCUCUGUGGAAUCAAUAAGAUGGCUUCUUUCCUCCACUAAAACAAAGUGAUAAUAUCAUUUUAUGUUAUCUGCAUUUCAUCACUAUCUUCGUAACAACAUAAAAUUGUUAUUUUAAUGAAUAGAAAUGUUGUAACAACUUUGAGCAUUAAUCAAAAAGAUGAUUGAAAAAAUGGAGAGCAUUAUUAAAAUGAAAAACUUUUUGGACAACAUUAAAAUGAACAUUGAUGCAGUAAAAUUUCUUUUAGUCAAAUAAAUAUAAUUUGGAAGCGAAACUAAGUUAAACAUAUCAUAACAUUUAUUCACAAUUUUAAUUACUCUUAAAAUAUAAAUCAAUAACUCACCGCAGUAAAAAAAUACAUAGCUAUAAGGUUAUAACAAUGACAGAGUUUUUUCUUUAAAAAAAAAUAAUAACAGAGAUUCCGGAAAAGAAAUAUGAAUAUAUAUCAUUAGUAAAAUAUAUCACUACAACGUUGAAGUAACUAAAAUAGACAUUGUGAGCCUAACCUUUUUAUGGUUUUAAGAGAAAAAAACAAUAUAAAGAUGCACAAUAGCUUUUUUAACCUGAAUCAUCGGCUUCUGUAACACUUCUCACACCAGCAUUUGCUCUACAAACAACUAUAAACGGUAGGUUUGCUGAAAGUAAAAUAAAACUAAAUUAUAAUGUGUGGUUAUUUAUCAUCAUUUUAAGUUUUCAACAAAGACAAUAUUUAAAACAUAGACAUGAAAAAGCACGAUGAAGAUAUAACCAUCAACA
rnacentral:lncRNA from 1 species